rnacentral:rRNA from 1 species
GACUGGGAUAACUCCGGGAAACCGGGGCUAAUACCGGAUGCUUGUUUGAACCGCAUGGUUCAAACAUAAAAGGUGGCUUCGGCUACCACUUACAGAUGGACCCGCGGCGCAUUAGCUAGUUGGUGAGGUAACGGCUCACCAAGGCAACGAUGCGUAGCCGACCUGAGAGGGUGAUCGGCCACACUGGGACUGAGACACGGCCCAGACUCCUACGGGAGGCAGCAGUAGGGAAUCUUCCGCAAUGGACGAAAGUCUGACGGAGCAACGCCGCGUGAGUGAUGAAGGUUUUCGGAUCGUAAAGCUCUGUUGUUAGGGAAGAACAAGUACCGUUCGAAUAGGGCGGUACCUUGACGGUACCUAACCAGAAAGCCACGGCUAACUACGUGCCAGCAGCCGCGGUAAUACGUAGGUGGCAAGCGUUGUCCGGAAUUAUUGGGCGUAAAGGGCUCGCAGGGCGGUUUCUUAAGUCUGAUGUGAAAGCCCCCCGGCUCAACCGGGGAGGGUCAUUGGAAACUGGGGAACUUGAGUGCAGAAGAGGAGAGUGGAAUUCCACGUGUAGCGGUGAAAUGCGUAGAGAUGUGGAGGAACACCAGUGCGAAGGCGACUCUCUGGUCUGUAACUGACGCUGAGGAGCGAAAGCGUGGGGAGCGAACAGUAUUAGAUACCCUGGUAGUCCACGCCGUAAACGAUGAGUGCUAAGUGUUAGGGGGUUUCCGCCCUCUUAGUGCUGCAGCUAACGCAUUAAGCCACUCCGGCUGGGGAGUACGGUCGCAAGACUGAAACUCAAAGGUAUUGACCGGGGCCCGCACCAGCUGGUGCAGCAUUGUUGGUUUAUUACGGAGGCACGGCGAAGAACUUAACCGAGGUCUUGGACAUCUCUGAACAUCGUAGAGAGAUAGGACGUCCCCUUCCGGGA